AUGAGCAUUGGCCGUGACCCCGUUCUUCUGGACAGAAGUUUCUGUGGGACAACUCUGCCCCUUCCCUGUCCUUACUCCUGGAGCAGAUUGGCCGAAGGCCUCGGUGGCCGACACUCCGCAUCUCAUGAAACACACGCUCCCAUAGGACCCCCCACAGCCUUGCUCUCCACCACGGAUUCCUUUCACAGCUUGGGAAGACACGCGUCUGGAAAGCAUCCUCAAGUGGAAACGCAACCGUGGACAUUCCCCGCCAGUUCAGCAAUUCUGCUGGACAUUUUUGCCACGCGUAAAUGCUCAUUAUUACGUGAGCGGUCCGCGGUCUCGGGGAAAUUCUGAAGCCAGAUUAUUGUAGGCUGGUGCUCUUUACCAUAAACGAGCCAUUUAUCUUGCUAUUUGAUUCUUAAAUCAUGUGCUGUGUCUCUCAAGAAGAAGUCGGCUUUUGAAAAAUCAUCAGUGGAAUUAGAAGAGAGACAACAGACACACUCGCAGAAACACUACAAGGUGUUCCCCCUUCGCUUCUUAAAAAUUAAAAUCCAGUUGGCCUGCACCGUAAGGAGUUAGUGAGUUACUGGGUCUACACCUUUCACUGAUGCCAUUUCAGUUCCUCUUUGCCUUCUCUCCAAAAGGGAGGGUGUGGAAGGGAGUGGGGGUAACUGGAGAGAGCUCCCAGCCUCAGCUCAGGGCAGGCUGGGCGCAGAGGUCAAGACCCCUGUGACUUCGUUAGUGUCGGGGCGGAGGGCUGGCCCUGCCUGACUCUAAAUGGCGUCCUCAGCUCUUCUCUGCGUCAGUCCCAGGUGACUGUCUCUUCUGGACCAGGCCCCCGGUUGACACCACUCCCAAGGGGCAGCCCCAAGCCGGAAAAGCAAGCCUCGCUUCCGUGCCCCAGGGCGUGACCCCAGCGGUCAGGUGGGCUCAGGGGUCCCCGGAAGGGGUGAAUUUCCAGAGGCCUAAGCCGUUGCCCAGUAUCUUCUCGCAAGCCUGGCUCCAAGGACGCAUCUUGGGGAUCCGCGGGGGGCCGGUGGGCUGGGGGGCAAAGGAGGGGCGAGGGUAGGGGGAGGCGGGAACAGGGCAACCUGGCGGAGUACGCAGGCCUGAGCCCUGCACUGCUUUGGCGGGGUCCUGCCCUCGGUACCCCCUGCCCCACUCCGCGCACAGCGGCCUGGCGGGCUCCAGGGGUGGGGGGCAGGUGGUGGGCCCGGGCUGGGGGGGGGGGGGGGGGGGGGAGGAGGGGGCAGGUCGUGGGCCCGGGCUGGGGGGCGCUGGUCGUGGGCUGGGGGGGCAGGUCGCGGGCUCAGGCGGUGGGGGGCAGGUCGUGGGCCCGGGCUGGGGGGGCAGGUCGUGGGCUCGGGCUGGGGGGGGGAGGAGGGGGCAGGUCGUGGGCCGGGC
rnacentral:lncRNA from 1 species